UUGCAGUGAGCCCAGAUUGUACCACUGCACUCAGCCUGGUGACAGAGCAAAACUCUGUCAAGGGCGAGGAGAUGUUACAGGAUAUGGUGUGGAACUUGUAUGAAUCCUAAUUUGGACAAAUUGAUUAUUAAAACACUUUGAGAUCAUUGGAGAAAUUUGAGUAUAGACUGAGUGUUAAAAGAUAUUAAAGACUUAUUAACUUUGUUAGGUGUAAUAAUUGUUUUAUGGGUUUUUUUACGUUUUUAUCUGUUAAAGACACUGAACUAUUACAGGUUAAGCUGAUAUGAUAUCUGGGGUUUUCUUUAAAGUGAUCCAGUGACAGGGCAUGGAAAAGGCAGCAGUUGAAAUCAGAGUAGCAAAAUGUUGAGAAUUACUGAAGCUCACUGAUGGAUACAUGGAGAUGCAGAAUUCCUGCUCUGUGGAAAGAAAAGUAAUAGUAAGAAGAAAGACUAAGAAUCUCUGUGGUCUGGGGAUGGUAGGAAAACCUGAAGAGUGAUGUGCAGAUUAAUAGUGAGUGUCAACUUGAUUGGAUUGAAGGAU